UAGAUUACAAAAUCAAAAAAAUAAUAAUUUAAAGCCUAAAAUAAAUAAACCCAUUACACUAGCCCAAACCCUAACCCAAAACCUAAAUUUAAUUUAGCCCACUAGUCUAAAUACCCCUAGCCCAACAAGCCCAACCUAAACUAAAAACAGAACCAAAAACCUAGCCGCAUGCAGCUCCCAGUACCGCAGCAGUCAAGCCCUCCCACGCGUGUGCUGCGCCACCGCGCGCGUGCAUCCCCUCCGAGCUUGUACCUGCACAACAAAAAUGGUAACAAGCAAGAAAAUCAGAAAUCAAAGGCAACAAACAAAUAAUGCAUUUAAAGUUAGAUUUUUUUACAUUUUUUCUUUUCCCAUUAUCUGUUAUAAAAAGCAGAUUUGAUAUUGUAAAAAGGACACGGAUUCGAAAAGAAAAUCAAUAAAAAGGAACGAAUAACAGUCUUUUAGGUGAUUCUCCAAUUUCCUUUAUUUUUUUCUUCUGAUUUAAAUUUUUUUAUUUUGUGAAUUAAAAGAAAAAGAAGAGUUUUACCUCGUGACCUCUUCAGAUCCACGCGAAGAGGAGCCAAAAAUCCCUUUGUGGUGAGGCUCCGACCACCAUGCACGGUGGAAAUUGAG
rnacentral:lncRNA from 1 species